CAUGUGAUCACCCUCGCGCCCGACGCAGAGUCGCUGUAAUGAAUGCUCGGGAAGUUAUGGAGAGAAAGGAUACGAUCCCAGUGAUUAAUGCCAAAGCCCUGUUGCCUGGGGAGAGGGUGAUGUUUGACUUUCUUGUACAGCUGCAGUUUGUGUGGUGAAGGUGCUCCCACAAUGUGGUUGGAUCCCAGUGAUUAAUGCCAAAGCCCCAUUGCCUGUGGAGAGGGUGAUGUUUGACUUCCUUGUACAGCUGCAGUUUGUGUGGUGAAGGUGCUCCCACAAUGUGGUUGGGUGGACAUUCAGAUGGUAACCUCAGUAUUUGUAACACCAAACUCUGACAGAAUUACUCAAUUCAUCAGGACCUGGAUAUGUGCAUUUAGUUCUGAGAUGUUUAUGACAGGAAUAUGACAGGCUCCAUUGGACAUCAGCUCAGAAAAGGUGAUACUAGAAUAGAUGACACAUG